AACAUCGGUAUUUUAAGCAGCUGAAAUUGCUCGUGCACUCAAGUAAUCGCAGUGACGAUAAUUUGGCCAAUGUUCGGAUAAACAUUCGUGAUGAGUUCAUCUUUCGUUGAAGUAAAUUGACAAAAGGCAGGUGAAAUUGAUAUCAAACCACUGGAAGUAUCAACCGAAAUGUGCUCAUUUCCAAUUCUUAGCGAAUACAAUGUAAAAUGUAUUCGGCAAUAUAAUUUUUUGCGGAUAUGUCAAAAUGAUCUUCGCGAAAAGGUGUUGUUUUUAUUGUGGAAUGUAUGGAUUUAUUGUACCACUCGAUACACUUGUUGUUCUAAAUUUUUCAGAUAAUGUGCUGUGCAGCCUUUCUACGUCUGCAUUCCCGGUGACGAUAUGUACAUAUGUAUUUUAUGCGUUUAAGGCGGCCUGCGCAAUCCAAUAUAAUAUGUGAAAACAAAUGUUUGAUUUAUAUUUUAAAUGAUCAAAUAAUAUUUAUCUUUUCUUUCAGAUGUUAUUAUUAUUUUUAUUUAAUUAUUCUCUCUUUUCAGAUUUUAUCACUAUUUUAAUUUAAUUAAUCUUUGCUUUCAGAGUAAAUUCGAUUUGUUUUUAAUAUAUUUUAGUCUUUCAGAUAAUAUUAAUCUUUUCUUUCAUAUAUUACUAUCAUUUUAUACAAUUAAUCUUUCUUUUUCUUUUAGAUAUUCAAUGUAAUUAUUAUUUAUUUUCAGGUAUUAAUAACCUUUAUUUUAUUUCAGGUAUUUGGCUUUUAUAAUCUUUUUCUACUCUUUUAUUUUCAGGUUUUAAUAACCUUUAUUUUAU